UCUCCCGUGAGGGAGCAGUCUCGCCUGACAUAUAUAACAGGCAACGGGGGUUGCGUUCGUUACCCCACUGAAGGGAACAGUUCAAACCACGAACUGACGACGGCCAUGCAUCACCUGUGCAGCACCCUCGGAGGCUCCUAAUCUUUCGAAAAGGAUGCAGCUGCAUUUCUAACCUUGGUAAGGUUCUUCGCGAGACAUCGAAUUAAGCCUCAUGAUCCACCGCUUGUGCGAGUCCCCGUCUAUUCCUUUGAGUUUUAAUCUUGCGAUCGUACUACCCAGGCGGCUCGCUUACCGCGUUAGCUUAGUCCCACAGAGGGUCGAUACUCCGUAGAACGAGCGAGCAGCGUUUAGGGCUAGGACUA
rnacentral:misc_RNA from 1 species